rnacentral:rRNA from 1 species
CCCUUAGAUGUUCUGGGCUGCACGCGCGCUACACUGACAUACUCAGCAAGUUUCCUUUCCCGAAAGGGUUGGGUAAUCUUGUUAGUGUAUGUCGUGAUGGGGAUAGAAUAUUGUAAUUAUUGCUCUUUAACGAGGAAUUCCUAGUAAGCGCAAGUCAACAGCUUGCGCUGAUUACGUCCCUGCCCUUUGUACACACCGCCCGUCGCUCCUACCGAUUGGGUGAUCCGGUGAAUGGUUCGGACUCUGGCUAUGCUAGCUACUAGCUACGUCAGGGAAAGUUCUGUGAACCUUNUNACUUGGNGGAAGGAGAANUCGCANCA